UACGGAGGGUGCGAGCGUUGUCCGGAAUCACUGGGCGUAAAGGGCGCGUAGGCGGCUUCUCAAGCGUGUGGUGAAAGUCCGGGGCUCAACCCCGGAUCGGCCGUGCGGACUGGGGAGCUCGAGUUCUGUAGAGGCGGGUGGAAUUCCGGGUGUAGCGAUGGAAUGCGUAGAGAUCCGGAAGAACACCGGUGGCGAAGGCGGCCCGCUGGGCAGAGACUGACGCUGAGGCGCGACAGCGUGGGGAGCAAACAGG
rnacentral:rRNA from 1 species